rnacentral:rRNA from 1 species
UUCGAUAAAGUAUAUACCGAAUUUCGCAGGUCUGUACCUCGGUACAGAUUGGUAGGGGAGCGUUGAGCUUGCAAAGAAGGGGAACUGUAAGGGACCCUGGAGCGUGCUCAAGUGAGAAUGCAGACAUGAGUAGCCAAAAUUGCGGGAAGCCCGCAAUCGCCGUAAGUCCAAGGGAUUCUGGGGAAGGAAAAUCCUCCCAGAUUUAGUCGGCACUAAGGGGCGUCAGUUUGACGCUUCGAUGAACAAGAGUUCAAUAUUACAAUACCAAUUGUUCUUCAUACAGGCUGGUACGUGAACGGCAGCGUGGGCGGGACACAAAUUACCGUCCCUAACGGGUUAAGUUGUCCUCGGACAACUGUGUCAUGCUAACCGUUUGCGCAAGAAAAGCCUACCUGUUUUUUGCAAUUGACCGUACCUAGAACCGACACAGGUGGACGGGCGCUAAUGUGCCCAGGCGAUUUGGUUAAACCUUGCUAAGGAACUCGGCAAUCUAGCCUCGUAACUUCGGAAGAAGAGGCGCCACGCAAGUGGUCUCAGUAAAAUGGGUCAACCGACUGUUUAACAAAAACACAGCACUCUGCAAAGUUUCAAUACUAAGUAUAGGGUGUGACACGUGACCAAUGCGGAAAGAUUACAAUGCGAGGUUAGCAGCAAUGCGAAGCUUCAAGUUCAAGUCCCCGUGAAUGUCGGCCGUAACAAUAACGGUCCUAAGGUAGCGAAAUUCCUUGUCGGGUAAGUUCCGACCUGCACGAAUCGUGUAACGAGUUGACCGCUGUCUCAGCAAGGAGCCUAGCGAAAUUGUAUUGGCGGUGAAGAUGCCGCCUACCUGCAGCAGGACGGAAAGACCCUAUGCACCUUUACUGUAAGCUGUAACUGAUCUCUCGAUGUUAUUGCCGAGCGUAAGUGGGAGACUGCGAAGCCGCUCUUUCGGGGGCGGCAGAGUCGCCAAUGAAACACCACUCUAUAACCUCAAGCGUUCUAAUCAUUCGUGAAACAAUUGCAGCCGGUCAGUUUUACUGGGGCGGUAUCCUCCUAAAGAGUAACGGAGGAGUGCGACGGUUGGCUCAGUUCGAUUAGUAACCGAACAACGAGUAUAUAGGCAUAAGCCAGCCUAACUGCGAGACCUACAAGUCGAGCAGAUGCGAAAGCAGGCCUAAGUGAUCCGGUGGUCAAAUGUGGCAUUGCCAUCGCUCAACGGACAAAAGGUACGCUAGGGAUAACAGGCUGAUCGAGCCCAAGAGCUCAUAUCGACGGCUCGGUUUGGCACCUCGAUGUCGGCUCAUCACAUCCUGGGGCUGCAGAAGGUCCCAAGGGUCCGGCUGUUCGCCGGUUAAAGUGGUACGCGAGCUGGGUUCAGAACGUCGCGAGACAGUUCGGUCCUUAUCCGCUGUGGGCUGUAAUGCAUGAGGGGUUUAGAUUCUAGUACGAGAGGACCGAAUCUAGUGGACCGCUGGUGUACGAGUUGUCGCAUUUGCGGCAUUGCUCUGUAGCCAAGUCCAGAUUAGAUAAGCGCUGAAUGCAUCUAAGCGCCAAGCUAUUCCCAAGAUUGUGCAUUUUAAGGCCGUGGUAGACGACCACGUUGAUAGAUGCGAAGUGUAUGCCCUAAAGGACAGCUUACGCAUACUAAUCGCCUGAA